GUCCAGGUCGCCGAAGCGGGCACCAUAGAAGCCCACACGGAAAUACGUCCCGAACACACGCUGUGUCUGGAAGAAGGGGAGCUGUGGCCAGGAGGCCCCUCUGGAGGUCCCCUUGCCCCACAUGCAGAAGAGAGAGAAAACGAAAACUCAGAGACACAACUCCCCAGGGCCAGGACCUGAACACCAGCCCUUCUGGCCUAGUACCCAAGACCUCCACCCCCAGCUGCAUCUUGGCAUGUGGUCACCACUGCUCCCGAAGGGCCCCUCACCCACAGCCGGUGCCACCAUGAAGCUAGCAGAAACCCUGGGAAGUUUCCUGACCAACUGUGAGAGGUCUGCGUGUACCGUCUGGUUUAUUCCCCUGAGGCUUUUGUUUGAGCCUUUAACAAAAUGACAAUAGUGAAAACCCCACUAGGGGUCUGGCAGCCCAGAAAAUAAAUCUCACCGGAAAAACCUGACUCCGAAUCUGAGCGGGACUCCAGACCUCAUCACCAGUUCCCAGAAACGUGGGGACAGAGGAACAAGUAAAGCAACACCAUG